AACCUCAUUCUCCAUGAGAAUGGGCACUGUUUGUCAGUGUCCAGAAUUGGUCAAUGUGGCUAAAUUAAGACAGGUUAUGCUUCCAUCAUAGUAAGUGCAUUACAGUGGUGACAAUGAGACCUGUAACAUUU
ensembl:snoRNA